rnacentral:rRNA from 1 species
GACGAGCCACACGAACGUUAUUCGGAAUUACUGGGCUUAAAGGGUGCGUAGGCGGCGCGAAAAGUUGGGUGUGAAAUACCUCGGCUCAACCGAGGAACUGCGCCCAAAACUAUCGUGCUCGAGGGAGAUAGAGGUGAGCGGAACUUACGGUGGAGCGGUGAAAUGCGUUGAUAUCGUAAGGAACACCCGUGGCGAAAGCGGCUCACUGGGUCUUCUCUGACGCUGAUGCACGAAAGCUAGGGGAGCAAACGGG